GCCAGCAUGGCCUUGUUGUUUGAGUGUUGGACUGAGACUCUGGAGACCAUGGUUCAAAUCCAUGUUCAGCCG